rnacentral:sRNA from 1 species
GCUUAAAAACUCUUAAAAAAGUGAAAUAGUAGACAUGUUGCUAGCUCUUAUUUAUUUUUCUUCUUCUCUCAAUUGAGGCAAAAACUUGCUUUCAGAUUUCGACUGGUGAGAGUCUAAUCAGUUUGGUAAUCGUCUUUGUUUUUGUCCUGCUCUGUUUUCGACUUUGUUGUCAUGUUUAAUCUGGUGCAGUAAAUUCUUCUUCUUCCUCCAUUGGAUGUGGAUUUGGAGCAGUAAUCUUAGAUUCAGAGUUUUUGGAAUGUGAAAGUUUCAAUCCUUUCCUACAGCUCUUGUAAAUAGAAUGUUCAAAGAUUACUUUGUCAUUUGGAUCCUUUUCUACUUUUGUUAGUUUGUGAUUUUGAGUUUUGGUGUUUUGUUAUUAUGUAGCAGAUUAUGAAAGAUCAAAUAAAAGACCAUUUUACCUGCAAGAUGGCGAGA